rnacentral:rRNA from 1 species
CCUACGGGAGGCAGCAGUGGGGAAUAUUGCACAAUGGGGGAAACCCUGAUGCAGCGACGCCGCGUGAGUGAAGAAGUAUCUCGGUAUGUAAAGCUCUAUCAGCAGGGAAGAAAAUGACGGUACCUGACUAAGAAGCCCCGGCUAACUACGUGCCAGCAGCCGCGGUAAUACGUAGGGGGCAAGCGUUAUCCGGAUUUACUGGGUGUAAAGGGAGCGUAGACGGCGCUGCAAGUCCGGAGUGAAAGCCCAGGGCUUAACCAUGGUACUGCUCUUGAAACUGUGGAGCUUGAGUGCAGGAGGGGCAGGCGGAAUUCCUGGUGUAGCGGUGAAAUGCGUAGAUAUUAGGAGGAACACCGGUGGCGAAGGCGGCCUGCUGGACUGUGACUGACGUUGAGGCCCGAAGGCGUGGGGAGCAAACAGGAUUAGAUACCCGUGUAGUC